UAGGGAAUCUUCGGCAAUGGACGAAAGUCUGACCGAGCAACGCCGCGUGAGUGAAGAAGGUUUUCGGAUCGUAAAACUCUGUUGUUAGAGAAGAACAAGGACGUUAGUAACUGAACGUCCCCUGACGGUAUCUAACCAGAAAGCCACGGCUAACUACGUGCCAGCAGCCGCGGUAAUACGUAGGUGGCAAGCGUUGUCCGGAUUUAUUGGGCGUAAAGCGAGCGCAGGCGGUUUCUUAAGUCUGAUGUGAAAGCCCCCGGCUCAACCGGGGAGGGUCAUUGGAAACUGGGAGACUUGAGUGCAGAAGAGGAGAGUGGAAUUCCAUGUGUAGCGGUGAAAUGCGUAGAUAUAUGGAGGAACAACAGUGGCGAAGGCGGCUCUAUGGUCUGUAACUGACGCUGAGGCUCGAAAGCGUGGGGAGCAAACAGG
rnacentral:rRNA from 1 species